GUGCCAGCAGCCGCGGUAAUACGUAGGGCGCAAGCGUUGUCCGGAAUCACUGGGCGUAAAGGGCGCGUAGGUGGCUUGUUAAGCGUGUGGUGAAAGCCUGGGGCUCAACCCCAGGUCUGCCGUGCGAACUGGCAAGCUUGAGCGUAGUAGAGGCAGGUGGAAUUUCGGGUGUAGCGGUGGAAUGCGUAGAUAUCCGAAAGAACACCGGUGGCGAAGGCGGCCUGCUGGGCUACUGCUGACACUGAUGCGCGACAGCGUGGGGAGCAAACAGGAUUAGAAACCCUGGUAGUCC
rnacentral:rRNA from 1 species